rnacentral:lncRNA from 1 species
GCCUCCUCCUGGGUGCUGGGAUUGGCUCACCUCCUUUCUUCUCUUCAUGUUCUGACAUUCAUUCAUUCUUCCAGUGUACUUCUAAAGAACACCCACAGUGUGCUAGGAACUGGGCUCUGGAACAGGGAUAGCAGCUGAGAUCCCAGAAUUCUCUGUCCUUAUAGACCUUUUAGUCUGGUGAAUUUAUAUUAAACACUCCCACAAUUAGUAAAUAAUUAUAAUCAGGAUAAAUGCUAUGGGUCAGGCUCUCUGCUUGUACCUCUUUUUCAUAUCCUCUUAGUUCCCAUCUCUCCACCAACUAUUGCUCUGGCAACCAGUUCCAUACAAGCUUUGGUCAACAGCAGAGGUGUCAUUUGAUAGUAUCUGUCCUCAGCUCAGCUUCUUGCUCCCUGGCCUAGGGCUUCUCUCAAGCUAAGGUGUGGGAACCUGCUUAGAACUCAUUAUCCAUCCCAUCCCAGAGGUGUCUGGGAAGGGGUAAAUGACUACCUACACAGAACCUUUCUUUAAUAGAGGACUAAGGCUAAUAAAUUAAUGCUUCCCCUUUGGCCCAUGGGUGGGAGGUUCCAAGAUGCUUUUCAUCAGCCUCCUCAAAAAUGUUCCAGCAGAGUGGGAUGUCAGUUUCCCACAACACUGACAAAUCAUAGUACAUCCGUAUCCUGGCUUUUCCCCUUGCUUGUUUCAUUCCUCUAUCCACACCCCCCAUCCCAGUCUGCUCCUUGAAAUCAAUCCUGAAAUUUUCUUCAUAUAAGCCUUUCUCUGGUUCUGCUUCCAGGGGCCCCAGGCUAUGAAGACUCUGUUAUAUGCACAUAUAUACACACACAGGAACUCAGCUUAAUCUGGAUUGUAAGGGGCUAUGUUAAUGCUCUAUCUGCUCUGCUGGACACUUUUGGGUGCCUACCCAAUAUUCAUUUUCCCCUUCUUCCCUGCUAGUAGAAUCCCAGUUUUAUUAGGUACCUACCUCUCUGGGAAUCUGAAGGAUGUAUUCUAUUUGAUCUAAACCACUGACUUUACCAGUGACUGACCAGGAGGUGAGUAUCUGGCUCACUUUGGGCCUGAGAAACCUAAGAGGAGGUCUGCUGGAGGUUUCUAGAAAUUUUUUUCUUCUACUCCAAAGGCAAGAAGUGACUCUGUCUGGAUCUAGAUAUGAUAUCUAGACCUGCGCCAAGCAUCUUAUGGCCAUGAGGCCUUCUAGACAAAGGAUAGGCCUGCAUACUAUAAUGACAUGGCAGAAACUUGGGAAGAUAAUGAAUUUUUGAUAAUACUUUUGGUCAUUGAAUUAAUUAUUUUCUUAUUGUUUACUUUUCUUCUCAUAGGUGCUCAUUAUAAGCAAUUCCUUGAGUGCCAAAGCAGCAUUAGAAAAAGCCAGUAGGAAAACUAAGUCCUCCAGAGAAUUUUAUGUAUUAGAAUUAGUAGUGAGUUAUUCUUAGUGAGUAUCCACAGAGACAAUUUCCCAUUCUUUUAGAGUUGUUGCUUUUAGGUGCUGCAUCAGGCACUCCCUCCCUAGGAAGAUGACAAAAAACAGAGCUCAAAAUAAAUAAUUAGAAAACAAUAAGAUUCCAUUCAAUAUAAAACAAUAAGGAAAUAGUUGAUUCAGUGGCCAAAAAAUGUCAUCAGAAAACUAAUAUCAUCCCAACUUUCUCCCAUGCCAUUGUAGCAUAGAGCUUAGCCUUGUCUUAUCCUUUGUCAUCCCCAAGAGGAUGAGGGGUAGGUAGGUUGUGAGCCCACACUGUAGGGAAAGGGAGGUGGAGCCAGGAGAACCCCUAGAGAGAUGGAGGCAAGCUUUCACCUGAGCGCAAAACACCCUAAUUAUCUGAUAGCAGCAGGCACACCUGGUGCCCAGAUGUUACUGUCUAAGACCAUUCUCUAAGAAAAAGAACCAGGGCUCCUUGGAGACAUGGAUGUUUCUAGAAGAAGGUAAGAAAUUAGAGUACCUUGUAGGACCAAAAGUAAGAAAGUGCUAAAAUAAAACAGAAGCAGAAACUUACAAUGUUUAGAGUAUGUCAAAGAGACCUAGGUAUCAACUGAAAGAGCUUCCAGUGGCCAAAAGUGGAACAAUUUGAGUAGUAAAAUAAUUGCAGUUGUGUUUGGAUUAUAACCCAAAAUUUAAAAUAAACAUCCAUGAGUCCAUAUGAUAUAAAUAAAUGAUUGAUUAAAUAAGCAAAAAGAGGAGACAAAUCUCCCAAGAAUAAAAAUUCCUUAUAGUUUAUGUAAAUCAUCUGGCCUGAAGGAAGGAGAUGAUGCAUUACACUCUUUUUUUCUUUUUUGGUUUUUUGAGACAGGGUCUUGCUAUGUAGUUCAAGCUGGCUUUGAACUCACUAUGUAGCCCAGGUUGGCCUUGAACUUGCAGCAAUCCUCCUGCCUCAGCCUCCCAAGUGCUGAGAUUACAGGCGUGCACCACCACGCCCAGCAAUGCUCCCUGAAGUGAGUGCUGUGUGUAUUGACUUCUCUCGAAAGACUACAGUACAGAAAGGAGGAAAAAAAGUAAACAUACAGCGGAGCCCAGCCAAGUGACCAAGUUUUCACAUCCAUUUUUCUCUCAUGAAACUACUUCGGGUGGAAAAUCAAAUUUCAUCAGGUAAGAGAUAUUAAAUGUGGAUCUAUAAACCUUUGUUUUUUGAAAAAGAAACUCAAGUCGAGAAAAUCUGAGAAUGGUGUCUAUCUUGGACAGAGAUAUCUAAAAUGUAAACUGAGGAAGGUUAAAAAAAGAUCUCCAACCAUAUGUGACUCAGGUGACAUUCUGAAGAUGUGGUUCUAAAGUGCGGGUCCCUAGCCAGCAGAACCAUGAUCACCUGAGAACUUGUUAAGGAGGCAAUGCCUCAGGCUGUCCACUGUGCUUUAGCAAACCUUCCAGGUGAUUCUGAUGCACACACAAUUUUGAGAACCAAUUAUAGAUUGGCUUCAUGGACCACAGGAAUAGGAAAUUUCUCUUUUCAAUUGUCUCCUCUCAAUUGGAUGGUUUUGCUGCCCCUUUUUCAUUUUAUUUCUCCAUUACCUUUUCUUCCUGCUGAUGCAUCCAUUCCUCAUCUAGCAAGCUAAACUCUGUUUCACAAAAUCAUACUUCAUUCCAAACAUAUUGUCUUUAUGACAACUUAAAUGCUAGAUAAUAUGGACUCUGCCAAAGCAGGAUUACAGUAAGAAUUGUCAAUGGAUGAGCGGAUUUAAAUUCCUUCUUAGCUUUGAGAAAGAAAAUAGUGACAGAAUUCACAUCUAUAAAAGACUGCCCAACCUUUAAGAUGAUUACCUUUUAGCUUACUAUCCAUAGGACAAUGUCUUUACAAGUGAAUUAAUAUUUUCAUAUGGACUGGAAGUAUUGAAUUGUCAUUCUGAAGUCACUUGCAAAGAAUUAUGCUGCCCAAAAUGUGAUUUUGUUCUCUCGUAGUAUUUAGAGUAUGUUGGAGUUCCCUGCAACAUCCAAUAUUGUCAACUCUGGAAUUCAGCCUCAAUAGCACCUCAGAUGCUGUAUCACUACCAAACUUACUAUGCUUGGUAUAGCCCCGGGACCACCUGUGAAUUAUCUACUUAGCUUAAAACUAGAUAUACACCAUCAUUCAGAAAUGACCAGAUACUGCCCCAAAGUGCCUUUGGUUAAGAUGAUCCCUCAUUUGCAAAGAUUUCUGCUCUGUAGCAUGCAUAUUUUUUGACCAAGUAGAUAUUAGUAUCUCUAAGACUCAUUCAUGAGAUGGAGAUAACAAAACUUACUUGUUGAAAUUGUCCUAAGAAAUACUGGAGAUAAUCCAGUAGUUAUCAUGGUAACAGCUUCAAUAAAUAGUAGCCAUGCUUAAAGAUAAUUUCAGUAAUAGAAUUACCGAUUUUUAAAUGUCAUAUCUGAGCUUGACCCAUUAAAAACCAGCACCUAGGAAGGAUCUCAAUUGUCCCUUCCUUGCAUGAUUCACCUACCCAUAUGCAUCCUCAUCACCACCAGAAGCAGCAUCACCACCUCUACUCUUAUUUUCCCUGAAGAUCUGUUUUUGUUAUUGCCACCUCCCUAUUCUCCACUCCUCUAGCUCCUUGAAAUCCUGGUCCUCCGACAUGGGGCCAGGUGGAAUUAGGGACUCGAUAAAGAAGUCACGGCAAAGCAUCCUCUGUAGUCCGCCCCACAGUGCUAGGAGAGUACAGACUAGCAACUGUGAUUAGCUCCUCAAAUGUCAGCUCCCAGGGAGCACAGCCUGAAAGGCUCUCUUGGUGACUGGAGCGUGGGCAUCAGAGGAUCAGAAGGCCUGAGGAGAACCUUGAGAGGGGACUAACCUCCAUAGCCUCUCAGAGAAUCCACUGGAAAGGCACAGGCCCACCUAUGGCAAACUACCCAGCAGAUGGCUUUGGUAGAGGAGGGACACAGAAAUGGAGAAAGGGAAAUCUUGGAAGAAAGGUAUGUAAAACAUUAGGAUUAAAUAAAUGUCCAACGAACAAGAGAUUUCUGAGUUUGAAUUGGUGACAUAGAAAAAUGAGAAACAUCUGGAGUCUGUACUUAUUUUGCUGGUUAGAAACACAGUUUUAAAGUCCUUUGUUGAAUCAUUUACUUGUAAAGACUUAUUAAAAACAAAUGCCUAAGGUGGUUGAAAAGAGAAUGUGUUGAAUUCAGAAUGCCAAGGCCUUUAAAGGAGCUUUCAAAGAGCUUCUACUUUCCGUCAACUGAGCUUAUUGCUGCCUCCUCAAAGUAGUCCUUUUGUUCCAUUUUAAUACAGCACUUGGAGACUCAAAAGGCUUUCAGACCCAUUUGCGAUUUAACAGUAAAUUUUUGGAGAGUGAAGACUGAUUUUCUUCAGGUUGUUAAGUUACAUUAAGUGAUUUUUUUUUUUUAUAGCCACCACUCCCCCUACGAAAACAGAAGCAUUUAAGAGAAGGGGAUCUACUUAGAUAUUGGCUCUUACUUUUAUUAUGGACAUGGCUGGGAUACACGGAUGAGGUUGUUUCCUUUUUCAUUUUGGAGAAAGAUUCACCUGUCCUGGACUGCCCCAUGAUAGGGUUCUAGACAAGAUAGACCAAAGAGACUGGAGAGAGGGGUUCUGAAUUACUUAAAGCCCACUGUGGCCUAUGCUGUAGUAUCUGCCCUUGUUGGGCCCCAUAAUGAGCAUUCACUGGAAGGAAAGCAGGGGUUAGAGGCCAGUGAGGUGCAUUGGUGUUGGAAUUCUGAGCGAGACCCCUGAGUUAUUUGAUGCCAGUGUCAUGCUGGGCCUUUUAACACUCUUAGACAAAAAAGAAGGAGGAAAAGCAGAGAGGAAGAAAGAAAGGGAAAGAAGGACAGAGGACCCAUCUUGAGAUGCAAUAGAUAUUCCAGGAAAUUUCUCCUCCCUCAUCAAUUUGCUACUCUUCUCUAGUACUUUACAAGAAAGUCAAUAUCAUCAAAGCCAGAUCUCAGGAAAGACAUGGAAACUGAGAUUAGCACAAGCUGUUUUUAUGAAAUUCUGCCGGUAUGCGAAUUUCCAUGAUGCCACUAUAGAGCUAGCCUCACACUGCUCUUUUUGUAUUCAAGUUACGAUAAUGAAGAGGAGUCUUUGUGUCUAAUAUUUUUUGCCCAAAUUAUCAGACUGAACAGACUGAACACCUUUACCUUAAUGGAGGGAAACAGGAGGAGAGAUAAACACUUGGCAACACUUGCAUACUCAUAACAGAAGGCCAGAAUCGCCAUGUGCGUGGCAGACCACAGGCCUCAUUGUCUCUCACCAAGUAACUUGACCCCUAAAAUGACAAUUUGGGACAGUUUAGGGGGAAAGAAAGAAGAUAAGGUUGCUUUCUGCAAGACAGUCCCAGAAUCCCACAAUAAUUCUCUUCAAGCUAUGUUUUGUUUUCUAGUUUACGAUCUCUUUGGGCUAACAGUGUCCAUAGAAUCACUAACCAUCAUGUGACUUAAUGCUUUAUUCAUGCAAAAGCUCUUUGAUUAAACUUCAAGGGAGGUCUUGGUGUGAGGGCCCUGCUCACUGAUCCUGUCCUUGGGGUUUUGAAAAUGUCAGUCUCUCUUCCCCCAGCCCUCUUUUUUUCAGACUUUACAGUAUACCUGCCUGCAUUGCUCAGCUGUCCCCAAUUGUCUUCUGGGGUCAUUGGACUCACUGUAUUACUAAGAUACAAUCUAAACAUAUUACUUUUACCUAAGAUCAGCUUGGUCUUUUUUAUCAUAGAGCUAGAGAGACAAGGCCAUCAGUCACUCAGACUGGCUACCAGGAACAGUUUGACUAAUCCUAUUUGAUUCUGAAAAUGCCUUAAAUUUGAAUUUAAGGCUUGUUGUUUAAUUUUAUUUUAUUAUUUAUUUAUUUAUUUAUUUUGGUUCCGGGGAUUGAACUCGGGUCCUUGUGCUUGCAGAGCAUGAGGCGGAACCACUGAGUUAAAUCCCCAGCCCUUGUUGUUUAAUUUUAAAACAUGGGUUAAGUUUUAUCUUUAAGAUCCAGAUGAAUGGAGAGAGUGCUUUCCCUUCGGCAGCACAUAUACUAAAAAGAUUGGAGAGAAAGGAUUGAAGGCAGAUGAGCAAUUCUACCUUGUGUAUUGACGUGAAAAGACUUUGAAAACUACAGGCUGUGAAUAUAAAGACAGCUUUGUCUGUGCCCCCUGAGCUCCAGGGCUUUGGUUCUUGCAUCAGCACAGGGGCCCACCUGGCUCUGACUGCCUCCUGCAGAUGUUCCUGGACUGAGGGCCUGAAAUUUCCCUUCACGGGCCUCCCUGGGCGAGGACCAUGAGGAAGCUCAGGAGAGCGGGCAGGAUUCCUUGGUGGACUCUCCAGAUGCCCAUCAAACUGUUUUCGUUUUCAUGAGGUUUUGCAGAACUCUAAGCCUUCUGGUCACAAAAUGUUUUCUUUGUGAAACCCUCAGAGAUUAUUUUUCUUCAUCACAAUGGCAAGAAUACAGAGCUGUCUCAUGAUUUCUUAAUGGGAUUCAGCUGCCCAAACUGCAGUGCCUUCCCCUGUACUUCAGAAUUUACUAUAUCGUUGUCUUGUUUUUCAUUUACAGAUGCCUAGAACUCUCCCUCUCCCACUUCCUCUCCCUUUCUCCUGCCCCUCCUUGCAACCAGCAGGAGCUCAUGAAGAUGAGCUGCAUCUUUACAAUCAUGGGCAUACUGAUGGGGCAAAUGCUACCUUCUUUCAGGCAGUGUCAGGCACAUUCCUUGAGAAAGUAGAUGUCCACUGGAGACCCCUGUCAGCAGCCCAGUGCUGGCCCUGAGCCAAGUGGUAUGGCCAUGUGCCAGAAAGGUGCCAGUCCAGCUCGAACCCACGGGUCAGCAGGGAGAGAAGAGUGACCUGAGACAAAGGGGAGGCAGCAUAGCCAAGAGUCAGAGCAGACCUGGCACCCAAGACCCAGGAGAAUGGUCCACAGGAAGAGGAUCUAGAUCAGUACCCACAGAGCCCACAGGAAGCAGGGGCCAAGACACAAGGCAGCGGGAAACAAGCUAUGUGCCAGCAUCAAAGAAGGCAUUGCAAUCAUUUCCUGCUUCUGUGUUUCUCUGUGGUCCUGUAGCGGAGACAAGAAGCUCAGUUAUGUAGGAACAGGGCCUGGGAUGGGAAGAAUAGGGACAGGUGACCUCAUGUGUGUAUAUCUUAGAUUCCCCAAGAGAUGAUGGCAACACAAAGAAAGAAGAGCUCUUUAAAAGCUCACCUGUGAACAUUAACUAUAAAAUAGUUUGCUGGCGUAGUUCCUGCUAACUGAAAACUCCUCUAUCUUUCAUCUCAAGAAAACCUGUUUCAUUUCUUCCUUUGAAGCAGAAUGCUUUUAAAAAAAUUUAUCUUAAAAAAAUGUAAAACAUGACCUCCUUCAAUGACCAAACAUCUCUCUGGGUCCCCUAUCCUAGACCUAACUAACCUCAUGGCCUUCAUCUUUUCUUUGGACUUCAGCUUGCCAUCCCUUGGUUUAGUCCUGAAAUGUCUUCAUUUCUGUGUGACACAUUGUAUGGCAAUUGUCCAAGACUCAGGUGCUUGUCCCAGCUCCAUCUUCCACGGCCACAUGAUGUCAGCCAAGUCCCUUCCUGCCCCGAGCCUCUCCUGUCUACCCCUAGUGAGCUGCUGUAAGAAUCAGAGAGAAUGUUGCAGGGGUGGGGGAAGACUGAACAUUUAAAAGCAUUAGACAAAUGGAAGGCAUUGUUGUUACAAAAUAUGGAUCUUUGGCUCGCAGUGGGGUGAGGCUGAGCCUCCAUCACUCAUUCUUUUGGCUUGUUUGUGUAACCUCUGGUGAAAUACUAGUAAUUGCUGCUAAGCAUUGGUUUCAGCACAUUCUGUGUUUCUCCUGUGCCAUUCACAAGGCAGUUACGUAUGCAACGAACUGAUCCUUCUCAGAAAGAAUGGAGGGGGAAGACAUGUAGCUAAUGUUUACUACUUAGAUGAGACAUCUGAUAAGACUCAUUUUAGCUACUCUGGUCCAGGAAAGAACAAUAACAAAAAUAUUACCAAACCCAUGGCACAAAUAACCAAUAGCUUAGCGCUAUGGUUCUUCUCAUUUGAAAUUUCUAUUCAACCAUGUUUCAUAUUCAGCAGCUAUCAUCAUGAUGACAUCACAUUUAAUCUAGCUGGACCGAGAUGGCACACAUUUGUAAUCCCAGCUAGUCAGGAGGGUGAGGCAGGAUGAUUGCAAGUUCAAGGCCAGCCUGGGCAACUUAUGGAGACUUUGUCUCAAAAUAAAAAUAAAAGGGCUAAGGAUGUAGCAAAACAUUUCUGGAUUCAAUCCUCAGUAACUGCAAACAAAUAAAUAGAUUUAACUGAGUUAUUACUAGUUCAAUUAAACCUAAACAUAUAUUUUUGCAUAACAUGUGUACCCAAGCACUACAGUAAGUACUGUAUAUAACCUUGAGUAAUUCAGAUUUUUCUUAAGAAACUCAUAAAAAGGGCCAGG